ensembl:lncRNA
GCACUGGGGGACAGCUGUGCCAGAGCAGCUCGGAGCAGAGGGCUGCGCUCUUGGAAUUAAAAUCCCAAGGUGAAAUGUGCCAUUGCCCAAAUGCUGCUCUGCUACCCCACUCCUCCGGGCCCCAUUGCUUACAGCCUCACACCAGUGAACCCUCAGCACCUCCUCAGCAAAGCUACGGGGGUGGCAGGAAGGUGUUAUUCUUGGCAACGCUCCCCACCCCCCUUUUCUUUUUGAUGCUGAACUGUUCAUUUUCAGAUUUUGAGUCACAAUAUUUCUCCAAGCAAAAAGAGUACGAGUUUGGAAAAAAUCCAACUUAGCCCUUCCAACUUCUUUGUGGUCGCUCCCAUUCACAGCGGAAGAAGCUCCAAGCCCUGCUGGCGCUGGGGCACACGGUGACACUGGUCCACAGGGUCCCAACCCUGACCAUGGAGCGUGUGUGGAGCAGGAGUGGGUGAAGGGGUUGCGAGAGGCGAGCAGGGGGAGCAGAGCAGAAACAUUCUCAUUAGCCCAUCCCUACGCUGUGGGUGUGUGGAGUUCAUAGAGCUGUUAAGGUUGGAAAUGACCUCUAAGGCCACUAAGUCCAACUGUUGAGCCCUGCACACACGCCCACCAACCGUGUCCUUCAGUGCCAUAUCUCCACAUCUGUUGGACACUUCCAGGGAUGGACGGCUUCUCAUGGAUGGAAUGAAAGGGACUAUAAAGUCCCAGAGCGCCGUGGUGAAGGUGCAGCAGUUGCUGAUGGGAUGGCACAGCACAAGAGGAGGAGGAAAAUCGUGCAAAUGCCCUUUUCUCCUAGGAAAACAGUCUCGCCCCUUGCUACAUGGCUGUCCCUGCACAUAUACCAUGGGCAGAGUGCUCUGGGGGCUGCAAGCGGCCACCAAGCACCGUCCCAAAGACAAAUGGGUUUUUCCGUCUCCUGGGCACUGGCAGCACUAUAAGGGUGAGGAGUCUUCUGCAGGGCUUCUGCCCAAUGGGAACCCAUCUGCUGCAGGGGACAGCAAACGCCGGCAGGACACAAAGGCUGCACGGCUGGGAUCGCGGCAGUGCCGUCAGAUGGGCUGCGUCCUGCUUUGCUGGGGGAGCGGCCCUCGGAGCCGGGCUGGGGCGGCUGCGUCCCCCCUCGGGAGCACAGCUGGGUCAAGCACGGGAUGCAUCCCCAGAUAGGGCCACGUAUGCAACGCAUCCCCAUGUAGGACCAUAAGGGAUGCGUCCCCAGGUAGGACUGCACGUGUGAUGCGCCCCGAAGUAGGACCACGUGUGGGAUGCGACACCGUGCACGCGGGGUGUCCCCCGAUAGGACCACACACAGGCUGUGUCCCCACGUAGGACCACGCACGUGAUGUGCCCCCAGGGAAGCUUCGGGCUGGCUCAGGACCUGAAGGACACCGAGGGGCUGGCGCCGGCCCAGAGACCCACCUGCCCGGGGUGAUCGCUGCGGGUGAGGGCGCAGGAGGAGCUGACAGAGGGACCGGGAGGCCGCUUCUGAGCUCUGCGGGGUUUGGGAUCCAAUGGGGCAGGAAUAUUAAGUGCCGGUGGAUGCCAGCGAGCCGCCACCGCCGCUAUUGGCGACGUUCGCCGAGGAAUGAGGCGUAGCACCGCGGGCUGCGGGCACCGGGAGGGGAAAACCUGAAAACGGGGGCGAGCGGCCGCUCCCCCGGCACGGAGAGAGCGAUGCUGCACGGCCCCGCCGCCAUGGGAGAGCCCUGGCAGCCGCAGUCCCAGCAGCAGCGGCUCCCGGCUCUCGGCAACGCCUCGGCCCCCAGCGCCCG